UACGGGGGCGGGACAGUGUUCGUGAAUUACUGGGCGUAAAGGACGCGCGUGAGCGGCCUGCUAAGUCGAACGUGAAAUCCCUGGGCUCAACCCAGGAACUGCGUCCGAUACUGGUUGGCUUGAAUCCGGGAGAGGGACGUGGAAUUCCAGGUGUAGCGGUGAAAUGCGUAGAUAUCAAGAGGAACACCUGAGGUGAAGACGGGUUGCUGGGCUGACACUGACGCUGAGGCGCGAAAGCCAGGGGGAGCAAACGGGG
rnacentral:rRNA from 1 species